rnacentral:rRNA from 1 species
UACGUAGGCAGCAAGCGUUGUUCGGAUUUACUGGGCGUAAAGGGCGCGUAGGCGGUCAGCACAAGUCAGUUGUGAAAUCUCCGGGCUUAACUCGGAAAGGUCAACUGAUACUGUGCGGCUAGAGUGCAGAAGGGGCAACUGGAAUUCUCGGUGUAGCGGUGAAAUGCGUAGAUAUCUGGAGGAACACCGGUGGCGAAGGCGGCAUCCUGGACCACGACUGACGCUGAAUAGCGAAAGCCAGGGGAGCAAACGGG